UAGGGAAUCUUCCACAAUGGGGCGAAAGCCUGAUGGAGCAACGCCGCGUGUGUGAUGAAGGGUUUCGGCUCGUAAAGCUCUGUUGUUAAAGAAGAACACGUAUGAGAGUAACUGUUCAUACGUUGACGGUAUUUAACCAGAAAGUCACGGCUAACUACGUGCCA
rnacentral:rRNA from 1 species